GGCCAGGAGGGGAAGUGUGUUUGUGUUUGUGCUGCUCGAGAAGGGGGAGGGUGGGGUUGGAGUGGAGGCAUGGGCUGAUGCCGUGCGCACGCCUCAUAGUUCACCCAUUGUCGUCCCGCGGCCUGCAGCAAGAGCAUCAUGAGGACAACACAAUGAGAGACGGACGCGGCGUCCCAAAGUGAUCGCCUGCGGGGUGCUGCACUCGUCGCGCUGGACGCCGCAGGACGAUGUCAGCAUCAGAGCACUCCAGGCACAAAGAGGUCCAGGCGCGGAUGAGGUUUGCGAGUGGCGAGAGCUCUUCGUCGGACUAGAUUCUGUGUGCGCAUCACAGCGCCGGGAAGGUGUUGAACGCGAAGACGGGAUGGACGCCACAUCCACCUGUAAUGACAAUCACCAGAUUGCGAAGGAUGGCCAUGGCUUGGGGAGGCCUUCAUCUGGCAGUGGAGAGAUCAUGGCUGACGAUGGAUAUUCACCUUAAUCGACCCCCCAUUAGGGUCUCAGUGUCCAGCCUCGGUGACAAAUGUUGAAAGAUGCCAGCCGAGUUCCUCGCUGACAAAGUUGCAUCAUCCGCACACUCCGCGUCUCUCGGUCGCAGUAACCCACUGGGAGCUCUGGGUGUUUCCCCAUCUCUACGCUGUCCAUGGUGCUAGAAAACACGUGCUAAACAGCACCAUCGUGCCGUUUGACAAACACAGCCCGGCUCAACAGCGGCUCACCCCUCGCACCAAACUGCCGGCGAAUCUCCUCCAGUCGCACACAAACCCGAGCCACGUCUAACAGCUCCUAUUACCCUCGGUGUCAGAUGUGAACAUUUCGUUCCCUCAUUAAAGUCUCAGAAUUGUUUUGUUGGAACCCUCCACCACCCGACAAGAUUGGCACGUUUACAAAGAUGUUAAUAUUUACACACGCGCCAAUGUAUUGAUCACCUUCUGGCGGUGGCUAAAAACUUCUCACGGCUAAAGUCAACGUCAACGGACAUCGACGUUUCGCUCCAACUGCUGUGAGCUUCAUCAGAAUGUGAGCUCGGGAAUCUCUCGCUACGUCAUAUUUGAGGCUGGAGUUUGGCGUGCAGUGCGUUGCAUGUCGACCACUCGUCGCCACGCUCCCGUGAGGAUGAACGUGCCACGCGCGUGCCACCCUUGCGCACCACGCUUUUAAAACACAACAAAGGGCAUCGCUCGCACACGUUUCUCAAAACAAGUGGAAGCGCAAAGCACGCAGAACCUCCAGGGACAAGCAGCCCACAAUGUGAUCUCAGCAACACUUUCCCACUGCCGUGUGUUUUUUUCGUGACUGUAUUGAUGCUAAGAUUAUAAACGCCAUGCCGCUGUGUGCGUGUUAAUGGCCUGGUUAAGCGACGUGAAGUCACUGGGCCCCUUCGUGAUGGUUUCGUAAAUCACGCGGCUGUGUCCCGCCCGUA